rnacentral:rRNA from 1 species
GAUGACGCUAGCUACAGGCUUAACACAUGCAAGUCGAGGGGCAGCAUGAAGUCAGCUUGCUGACUUUGAUGGCGACCGGCGCACGGGUGAGUAACGCGUAUCCAACCUUCCCCUUACUCAGGAAUAGCCCGUUGAAAGACGGAUUAAUGCCUGAUGUUCUCUAUUUCCGCAUCGGUAAUAGAGCAAAGAUUCAUCGGUAAGGGAUGGGGAUGCGUAUGAUUAGCUUGUUGGCGGGGUAACGGCCCACCAAGGGCAACGAUCAUUAGGGGUUCUGAGAGGAAGGUCCCCCCANACUGGAACUGAGACACGGUCCAGGACUCCUACGGGA